GAGUUCGUCGAGCGCCGCGUCGGGCGCGCCGUGUUCCGCGCGCAGCAGGCCAAGCAGCGCCUGUUCGAAGCGGGCGCGAAUUCG
rnacentral:tRNA from 1 species